GUGCAGCAGCCGCGGUCAUACGGAGGGGGUUAGCGUUGUUCGGAAUUACUGGGCGUAAAGCGCGCGUAGGCGGACUAUUAAGUCAGGGGUGAAAUCCCGGGGCUCAACCCCGGAACUGCCUUUGAUACUGGUAGUCUAGAGUUCGAGAGAGGUGAGUGGAACUCCGAGUGUAGAGGUGAAAUUCGUAGAUAUUCGGAAGAACACCAGUGGCGAAGGCGGCUCACUGGCUCGAUACUGACGCUGAGGUGCGAAAGUGUGGGGAGCAAACAGGAUUAGAAACCCGAGUAGUCC
rnacentral:rRNA from 1 species